GUAGGGCGCGAGCGUUGUCCGGAUUUAUUGGGCGUAAAGGGCUCGUAGGCGGCUUGUCACGUCGAUAGUGAAAUCCUGCGGGCUUAACUGUGGGUCUGCUGUCGAUACGGGCUGGCUAGAGGUAGGUAGGGGAGAGUGGAAUGUCCGGUGUAGCGGUGGAAUGCGCAGAUAUCGGACGGAACACCGGUGGCGAAGGCGGCUCUCUGGACCUUACCUGACGCUGAGGAGCGAAAGCAUGGGGAGCGAACAGGAUUAGAUACCCUGGUAGUCCAUGCUGUAAACGUUGGGCGCUAGGUGUGGGAGGCUUUUGUUUUCCGUGCCGUAGCUAACGCAUUAAGCGCCCCGCCUGGGGAGUACGGCCGCAAGGCUA
rnacentral:rRNA from 1 species